rnacentral:lncRNA from 1 species
CAGUAAGGAAAGGAGGGGGGACUGUGGUUUCAUGGGGAAGGAAAUAAGAAGAGUUGGAUUUAAGUCAAGAUGAAAAAACUAUAUUGAAGUGGGUGCCUGAAGACUUCAAUGGUAUAUAUAACAAAAUGUCUGAUCUCCAACGGAAAUGAAUUAGGGCCAUAAGUGUUUAUGGUUUGUUAUCUGUGUUGGUGAAGUUGAGGUGAAUAAAGCAGCAUAUAUGAAUACUCUCCAGCUAUCUGUUACACCCUGUCAACUAAAAUGUCUAGAGGGAACACUCUGGUGUGAGGCUCUUCACCAUGGUCCAGACCAUGACUUCUGAAGCUGCAGGAAAAUAAGGAGACUGAGGAAUGCCAAGAUUAUAGGUAAAUCAGAAAAGCUCCUGAAAUAAUAGACACAUCGAAAAGAAUAUGGAUAAUGGAAGAUAUGCUGGACUUGACAUCAAAUCAGAAGACCAGAAUUUGAAGGUUAAAUGAGGUUGAAAAUUGCUCCUGUGGGUCCCUGCCAGAGAGAUCAGACAGCCAACAUCUCGGACAGCCCAUGGGGUUGCUGAAAGGCAAGACUGGAGAAGGCCCCACAUGGCCCACCUCUCCUUGUUCCCAGAGCUGCAGUGCCCACCCUGUAGCAUCUGUCACCUCUUCUGGAUCCCUUCCUGUCUCUCCAUCCUGAGUUCUUCCCGGAGAGGCAGUGUGAGGAGUACCAACCUGGACCCUGCUGCCGAAGGAAUGCAAAUCCUGACUCUGCCCUUUGCAGCAUAGCCUUGGACAAGCUGAGGACCUGCCCCUUCCCUGCCUCAUCCUCCUCUAUAAACUGAGGAUAGUAACAGCACACCUCACCCCGUCACAAGGAUUAAAUGAGUCAAUAUGUACCUAGGGCUGGGAGGCUGCCUCGAAUAGAGCAAGGGUGAAGCAAAUGCGAUUAGCCAUUAUCACAAUAGCAGCCUUCCUGGAUCUCUCUCUCCUCUGAACACCAUACUCUCCCCACAACACACACACACUCUAGAGUUCUAAAAGGGCUGAGUUUUGUUGCACUUCCAUGCAACUUCCUCUGAAAAGGACUGAUCUUUGAAAUGCUAAGGAUUAUCCUCAGUAUUGGUGAUUAUGAUUCCUUUUUUUUCCCUCAGCACUAUGGGUUAAACCCAGGGCCUUCACACUGAGCUACAUCCCCAGCCUUCUUUUUAUUUUCCAUCUUGACACAGG